UGGCUUAACCAUAGAACUGCUUGGGAAACUGAUAAUCUAGAGUGAGGGAGAGGCAGAUGGAAUUGGUGGUGUAGGGGUAAAAUCCGUAGAGAUCACCAGGAAUACCCAUUGCGAAGGCGAUCUGCUGGAACUCAACUGACGCUAAUGCGUGAAAGCGUGGGGAGCAAACAGGAUUAGAUACCCUGGUAGUCCACGCCCUAAACGAUGUAUACUAGUUGUUGCUAAGCUAGUCUUGGCAGUAAUGCACCUAACGGAUUAAGUAUACCGCCUGGGGAGUACGGUCGCAAGAUUAAAACUCAAAGGAAUAGACGGGGACCCGCACAAGCGGUGGAGCAUGUGGUUUAAUUCGAAGAUACGCGAAGAACCUUACCCGGACUUGAUAUCUAACAAAUCAUCUAGAGAUAGAAGAGUGUCUGCUUGCAGAAAUGUUAAGACAGGUGCUGCACGGCUGUCGUCAGCUCGUGUCGUGAGAUGUUGGGUUAAGUCCCGCAACGAGCGCAACCCACGUCAUUAGUUGCUAACAGUU
rnacentral:rRNA from 1 species